GCGGGUGUGGCGAAAUUGGCAGACGCACUAGACUUAGGAUCUAGCGCCUAUGGCGUGCAGGUUCAAAUCCUGUCACCCGCACCA
rnacentral:tRNA from 1 species